rnacentral:rRNA from 1 species
AUGGCAUUGAUUCUUGCUAUCUAUAAUGCACGCGACACGCCAUGGUCGUCUUCCACCACCUACGCCUCCAACCCUCCAAAGCGUGUCACCUCAAUGGUCGCCGUCGCCUCAUGCUCCAGCUCUCCCAGCCACCGCCACAGGUCACCGCCUCUGUCCCUCCAAAGAACAGGGCCUCUCUUGUUGCAACCUCCUUACCACGACGACCAACGACGAGGAGGAGGAGGAGCUGGGCGAGGCAGGGAGGCAAGGGCGAAGUGUUGUCACCACAUCCACUUCCUAGGGCCGCAGGCGGCAAUGGUGAGGAGGUGA